UACGAAGGGGGCUAGCGUUGUUCGGAAUUACUGGGCGUAAAGCGUGCGUAGACGGUUAUUUAAGUCAGGUGUGAAAGCCCCGGGCUCAACCUGGGAAUUGCAUUUGAGACUGAAUAGCUAGGGUGCGGAAGAGGGAAGCGGAAUUUCCGGUGUAGCGGUGAAAUGCGUAGAUAUCGGAAGGAACACCAGUGGCGAAAGCGGCUUCCUGGUCCAGCACCGACGUUCAGGCACGAAAGCGUGGGGAGCAAACAGG
rnacentral:rRNA from 1 species